AUCCAUUUGGCGAGUCCCAAAUAGGACGAAACGCUCGUCCUGCUU
rnacentral:hammerhead_ribozyme from 1 species